GCCCGUCUACCUCAGUUGGUAGAGCGCAAGGCUGUUAGGAUGUGUUUGGUUCACUCCAUGGGCAACCUUGUCUGGCCCAAGCAAUCCCAGCCACAGAGGUUCCAAAUGGACGCCCGAGAUCGCUGCUUGGUCCAAGCAGGUUUGCCUAUGUAGUGAACCAUACACACCAUCAAUCUUGUGGUCUUGGGUUCGAGCCCCAAGGUGGGCG
rnacentral:tRNA from 1 species